CCCGGUGAUUAGAGCGAGGCGGAACGACUCCAUUCCAUUCCGAACUGGAUAGUCAAACGCCUCAGCGGGGACGAUAUCUGGUCUUUGUGACCAGUGAAAAUACCUCAUCGCCGGGC
rnacentral:rRNA from 1 species